CUACGGGAGGCAGCAGUCAGGAAUAUUGGGCAAUGGGCGAAAGCCUGACCCAGCAACGCCGCGUGAAGGAUGAAGGCCUUCGGGUCGUAAACUUCUGUCGAGAGGGAAGAACUGCGUGCGGUUAAUAUCCGUGCGUUUGACGGUACCUCCAAAGGAAGCACCGGCUAACUCCGUGCCAGCAGCCGCGGUAAUACGGAGGGUGCAAGCGUUGUUCGGAUUUAUUGGGCGUAAAGCGAGUGUAGGCGGUUUGAAAAGUCGGGUGUGAAAGCCCAGGGCCCAACCCUGGAACGGCAUCCGAUACUUUCAGGCUAGAGUCCCGGAGAGGGUGGCGGAAUUCCCGGUGUAGGGGUGAAAUCCGUAGAUAUCGGGAGGAACACCAGUGGCGAAGGCGGCCACCUGGACGGUGACUGACGCUGAGACUCGAAAGCGUGGGUAGCAAACAGGAUUAGAAACCCCGGUAGUCC
rnacentral:rRNA from 1 species